rnacentral:rRNA from 1 species
AGAACGAACGCUGGCGGCAUGCCUAAUACAUGCAAGUCGAACGAGAUCUUCGGAUCUAGUGGCGCACGGGUGCGUAGCGCGUGGGAAUCUACCCUUGGGUUCGGAAUAACAGUUGGAAACGACUGCUAAUACCGGAUGAUGACGAAAGUCCAAAGAUUUAUCGCCCAAGGAUGAGCCCGCGUAGGAUUAGCUAGUUGGUGAGGUAAAGGCUCACCAAGGCUACGAUCCUUAGCUGGUCUGAGAGGAUGAUCAGCCACACUGGGACUGAGACACGGCCCAGACUCCUACGGGAGGCAGCAGUAGGGAAUAUUGGACAAUGGGGGCAACCCUGAUCCAGCAAUGCCGCGUGAGUGAUGAAGGCCUUAGGGUUGUAAAGCUCUUUUACCCGAGAUGAUAAUGACAGUAUCGGGAGAAUAAGCUCCGGCUAACUCCGUGCCAGCAAGCCGC